AUUUAAUUUUAGUCUAAUUAUAAUUUUAGUUCUAUUACAGUAGCAGGCCUUACCAAGUUCCAGUCAGUCACAGACCAUGAAGAUUGUUUCAUUGAAGAUAGGAAAUGAGUAGCAUAUGCUAUGAAGAAGAUGUUUACAGCAAAGACCCCGAAAAUGGAGCCAUUGACGAAGACCAGGAAAAGAAAAUUAAAGGAAAGUAUAUUUAAUUUUAGUCUAAUUAUAAUUUUAGUUCUAUUACAGUAGCAGGCCUUACCAAGUUCCAGUCAGUCACAGAACAUGAAGAUUGUUUCAUUGAAGAUAGGAAAUGAGUAGCAUAUACUAUGAAGAAGAUGUUUACAGCAAAGACCCGAAAAUGGAGCCAUUGACGAAGACCAGGACAAGAUGCUUAAAGUAGCAGGCCUUACCAAGUUUCAGUUGCAGAAGAUUUCAUUAUUUCAUUGAAAAUUGGAGAUAAAUAACAUCUCCAAGGAAGAUUAAUUAUUACAUUAAUCUUCACCCAAGUCUGAGGCCAUGACAUGAAAGAAAUAAGUUAUAUUAGUGCCAAUGUUUUCAUGAAUGGGGAGUAAGACUUGGUGGUAUAAUAUUUCUAAUAUACAAAUACUAUGAAGAAGAUGUUUACAGCAAAGACCCUGAAAAUAGAGCCAUUGGCGAAGACCAGGACAAGAUGCUUAAAGUAGCAGGCCUUACCAAGUUUCAGUCGCAGAAGAUGAAGAUUAUUUCAUUGAAAAUUGGAGAUAAAUAACAUCUCCAAGGAAGAUUAAUUAUUACAUUAAUCUUCACCCAAGUCUGAGGCCAUGACAUGAAAGAAAUAACGUUAUAUUAGUGCCAAUGUUUUCAUGAAUGGGGAGUAAGACUUGGUGGUAUAAUAUUUCUAAUAUACAAGCUAGCAAUAAUUACUGCUUUUCAGUAUGGGUUGAGGUUUAGAAUGAUCAUUGGAGCUGACUUUUAAGGUUAGCAUUACAGCUUGUCCUUACAGAUUGAUGUUGGAAAUGGCCAUUGGAGUUGAAUUUUAAAGAUAACUAUUACUGUGGCUGAAGGAUAUAAUUGUUUGAUUAAUUCUCCGUAUCCCUCAGAGUUGUUGCAAAGGUUAUUAACAUGUAUACAGCUUGGCACUCUACACAAGGCAUUGGAUUUAACGUCCCCAUUCUGACCGGACAUGGCUGCGAAUUCAUACAUCCUGCACUUCCAAACAGAAGCCCCACUGCCAGUCUGAAGAAGACCAAGCGUGACCAUAUUUCUAUUCCCCAGUCACCCUUUGGGGUCUUUCUAACUUGAAGGAAAGGUUUCCAAUAGGAAUGGUUCAUAUAACUCUUGUUAAAACCAGUUAAAGAAUGUAUUUGAUAAAUUCUAAAUCAGAACUAAAACUACAGAAGAGUACAAAAUCCGCAAGUGAUAAUUUGCAUUUCACAAUUUGUGAAGCUAAUUGGAAGCACGUACCGUCUGUCGUUGCGAGGCCAUUUGGGAGCAUCUCUGUCGGGUGAACCUGAUUGGAAGUAGUACCUCUGGCAGACCAAAGCCAAUUAGAAGCAUGUAACUCUGGGUGAAGCCAACUUGGAAGCAGUAACCUCUGGAAAGUUGAUUUAACACAUUAUUAAUACACAAAUUUUAUUUAACAUUCUUUUUAAAGUUUACUUUCAUAUCAUCUUUUAUUUUCUAUUUAUAAUUACUCACCUUGUUGACAUUGCGACAUGCAAAUUAUCACUUCACCAUUUUUUUACUAGCCUAUGGUUUUUAUCCUGAUGAAGGUGCACUAGGAACCGAAACAUGUAGUCAGAGUUUCAAAUUUAUAUAUUUGAAUAUGAUAAUGUAUUUUGUUUUGUUAAGUAUAUUAUAAAAUUUUGAACCGACACCAGUUUUUUUAAGCUUAUAGAAAAGUCCUAGGUGCCAUACAGAGUCAAAUGCACGUUUAAUGUCUACAAAACAUGCAUAUAAUUGUUGGGAUUUAUUUCUGAUGUAUUUUUUGUAUAAGAGUAUUUAUUACAAACAUAUGAUCAGAUGUACUACAUCCUCUUUUAAAUCCAAUUUGCUCUUUACAAAUGAGUUUUUUCUUCUCAAAAAAGGCUGUCAGUCUAUUAUUUAAUAUUCUGUUAAAAAGUUGACCAAUAGUGUCACUUAUUGUUAUACCUCUAUAGUUUGAAGGAUCAUAUAUUGACCCCUUUUUAUGUAUAGUUGAAAUAUUCUCUUUGGCCAUAUUUUAGGUUAGAUUCCUGCAGAAAAAAAUCUAUUAAAAGCUUUUAAAAAUAGUGGGUUAAAAAUUGAUUGGCAGUACUUAAUUAUUUCAUUUAGUAUCAUAUUUAAUCCACAGGAUUUGCCAUUCUUUAAAGAUUUAAUAGCUUUUAUUUAAGUUCAGACUCUGUAAUCUUGAAAGUCUUAAUUCAUUAAAAAUAUUAGUUUUUUCUAAAUUAUUAAGCUCCUGUAGAAUUGAUUCAUUUUCAGCAAUUGUAUUUUUAUUUAGGGAUUUAAAAUGAUUCUCCCAAUCUUCCAAACUGAUAUAUGUUUCCUUUUUAUCAUUAUCUCCUUUUAAUUUUUCAACUAAUUUCCAAUAGGCUUUAGGAUUUUCAUUUUUAAGAUUAUCUAGCUUAUUAACGAAAUAACUCUUUAACUUACAUUUAUCUUUUCUGGUUUUUCUGUAAUGUUUUAGGCAUUUAAAAUAUGACCCUCUAAUGUAUUGGUCAUUGCUAUACUUUUGCAAUCGAUUGCAUUUAUGAUCUAGUUCUUGUUUUAUUUUCUUAAGACUGUAAUCAUACCAUAACUUUUGCUUUCUGUUAUUAACUUUCUUUUGAUA